AGUGAACGCUGGCGGUAGGCCUAACACAUGCAAGUCGAACGGCAGCACAGUAAGAGCUUGCUCUUACGGGUGGCGAGUGGCGGACGGGUGAGGAAUACAUCGGAAUCUACUUUUUCGUGGGGGAUAACGUAGGGAAACUUACGCUAAUACCGCAUACGACCUACGGGUGAAAGCAGGGGAUCUUCGGACCUUGCGCGAUUGAAUGAGCCGAUGUCGGAUUAGCUAGUUGGCGGGGUAAAGGCCCACCAAGGCGACGAUCCGUAGCUGGUCUGAGAGGAUGAUCAGCCACACUGGAACUGAGACACGGUCCAGACUCCUACGGGAGGAAGCAGUGGGGAAUAUUGGACGAUGGGCGAAAGCCUGAUCCAGCCAUACCGCGUGGGUGAAGAAGGACUUCGGGUUGUAAAGCCCUUUUGUUGGGAAAGAAAAGCAGCAGGUUAAUACCCCGCUGUUCUGACGGUACCCAAAGAAUAAGCACCGGCUAACUUCGUG
rnacentral:rRNA from 1 species